UGCCAGCCGCCGCGGUAAUACGGAGGGUGCAAGCGUUAUCCGGAUUUACUGGGUUUAAAGGGUGCGUAGGCGGGUUUGUAAGUCAGUGGUGAAAGCCUACAGCUUAACUGUAGAACGGCCAUUGAUACUGCAGAUCUUGAAUGUAGUUGAGGUAGGCGGAAUAUGUUGUGUAGCGGUGAAAUGCAUAGAUAUGACACAGAACGCCAAUUGCGAAGGCAGCUUACUAAGCUACGAUUGACGCUGAGGCACGAAAGCGUGGGGAGCGAACAGGAUUAGAUA
rnacentral:rRNA from 1 species